rnacentral:rRNA from 1 species
UACGGAGGAUCCAAGCGUUCUCCGGAUUUAUUGGGUUUAAAGGGUGCGUAGGUGGCCUGUUAAGUCAGGGGUGAAAGACGGUAGCUCAACUAUCGCAGUGCCCUUGAUACUGAUGGGCUUGAAUGAACUAGAGGUAGGCGGAAUGUGACAAGUAGCGGUGAAAUGCAUAGAUAUGUCACAGAACACCAAUUGCGAAGGCAGCUUACUAUGGUUUUAUUGACACUGAGGCACGAAAGCGUGGGGAUCAAAUAGG